rnacentral:rRNA from 1 species
UACGGAGGGGGCUAGCGUUGUUCGGAAUUACUGGGCGUAAAGCGCACGUAGGCGGCUUUGUAAGUUAGAGGUGAAAGCCCAGGGCUCAACCCUGGAAUUGCCUUUAAGACUGCAUCGCUAGAAUUGUGGAGAGGUAAGUGGAAUUCCGAGUGUAGAGGUGAAAGUUCGUAGAUAUUCGGAAGAAACACCAGUGGCGAAGGCGACUUACUGGACACAUAUUGACGCUGAGGUGCGAAAGCGUGGGGAGCAAACAGG